GUUGGUAGAUUCAGCUGUGCUGGGCAUCCUGGCUGAGUAACAGAGACAGUGAAUGUAAACAAUUAAGAUGUUCUAAUAAAGGAACCCAAAGAGGGUCCCAGAGGCUAGAAUAUCUACCUCCUGGGGGCAAACAGAGGUUUCCUAAGAACAUGUCAUCUGAGCAGAGUCCUCAAGUAAGACUAGGAGUUGCAUGGGGAGAGGAGGGGAAGGUAGGCCUGCAGACGGCUAGGUGAGCACAGGCACGGGGUGUGGAACAUUUAGCUUAUGGCAAGAGCAGAGGGUACAAAGGAAGGAGAGAGAGGAGGUGGGAUGGGAAGGUCAAUUGUGCCAACUAAGAUUUUUUUCCUGUAGUAAGGGGGAGGGAGGGCCUGAAGGACUUUAAACAGGUGAGCCAUGCAAUCAGCUGUGCUUUGGGAGGAUAGCUCUGGUGGUGACAUGGAGCCUUGAGGAUGGGACUAUACGCAUGAGACUGGGAUCAGAGUGGAGGCAGCUGGCAAGGAGGCAGUCAGGAGACCCUACUAAUAUAGGGAAUCCAAAUGAAGGAGAAAAAUCAUGAUGGCACAGCUAGAAACUAAUAGAGAAGAAAAAAUACCCCAGGCAUUUUGGCCUUGUUUUACAACAUAUUUCUUAGCUUUUUGAUGGCAAUGGAAGCUUUUUUGAAGUUGUCUUUUGUUUCCUGCCUUUACUGUAUGCUCUGAAUUCCCUUCUCUUUCAUGCUUUUUGGUUUGCAUCUAUUCUUUCAUAUUGGAGGCUUUGCUCAAACAUUCUGUGGACCUUAUCUGUUUGCAUAUAUUUAAAUGCAAGGCACUGAAAGACAAAAGACCUAUUCAAGGCAGAGUACAAAGUGGACCAGGGCAGGCUGAUUUCUCAACCUCUCUGUCGUGAGUUGACUCGUGUACUCCCAAAAGCUAUGUUGAAGUUCUAACCCCGGUACCUGUGAAUGUGGCCAUGUUUGGAAAUAGGGUCUUUGCAGAUGUUAGUUAUCAAGGUUUUCUUAGUGUGAAAUAUGAACUCAUGAGCAUCUGGCCUGGGAACUGGACCAGUUUUAAAUCUCGUGUUGAGAGCCGGAAGAUGCUGGAGAAGGAAUGUGGUGGAAUGACUGCCUGAGAAUGAACCAUUCUCCAGUGAGAGGGGGCUUCGAUAUUGAAAGGGCAAUUUGGCCUUAACUUGGAAAUGCUGGAGAUUGAUUGCAUACAAUCUGUCCUGCUAGUGAGAGAAGCAAGGACUGCAUCUAAGUGCAACAUGAAGACUUUUGGUCCCAAGCUUUCCUCCAACUUCAGUGGGAGGCAGCCCAAAACCACCGUCGGUUCAAGAAUACAAGUGACCUGCAAUUCUUGGAAAGACUCCCCCAAUUCUUCUCCCAAUAUGUGGUCAGCUUUUCCAGCAGGAUUAGGUUCGGGAGGGAGGAGUUUCAGCUGUGCUUCUAAGAUCUUCCAGAAUGAAUUUUCUACCUCAAAAAUCAAGGACUUUUCUGGAAACUGCAGUCAGAGGACAGAACAUCAGCCUCAAGCUGGUAAAUAGGAUGGAUUUUCUCCCUAAACAUCCCUUCUGCUUUCUAGUUUGAAUUAUCAAUAAAAUGGUUUGGCUUAUCUCUGAAAAUAACCUUGUUGACAACACAAAUAUGGAUUUAAACACGCUACCUCCACAUUAAGAUUUAAGAAGCCCCCAGUAAAUGUCAGGGGGUGUCAAUGUGUUUGCUGUGAUACUUGGUUAUUAUUAGUGUUUAACUGCAAUUCCCCACCAGCGCCACGCUGCCUGCACCACCAUAAAUUUUAAUGUGAUCAUGUGCUCUUCUCUUUUCAUAUCCAGUGAAUUCUGCAAGAUCAUAAUAUUCUAUAUGAACCCUAGCUGAACCUUAGUGUGAUAUGAAGAAAGAACAAGAUUUCAAGCAAUAAUAGUUGUUCACCAUUUUAUAGCUUUUUUUAACUGGACACUGAGCAACAUGGUUCCUUGAAUAAUAUUACCCUAAACUAAAUUCACUCAUUCAAUUAAUCUUUAUUGAUACCCUACAGGAUGCAGGGCAUGGCUCAAAGUGCUAAUGAGUACAUUUAUGGGAUAGUAAAGAAUACUGACUCUUAAAGAAAUCUUUUUUUUUCCCCUUGGAAAAUCUGUCAGAGCUCAUACAUCAUUUAUAAAACCGAAAAAAAUGUCUCUGCAACCUUGGCACCACUACAUGCCUUUUAUUUUACAGAAUACAAACAAAAGCAGAGUCAUUUCCGAUAUCUAGUCUACAUCGUGAAUAUAAGAAAUAUGUCCCUCAUCUUUUAUCAUGUAUUUAUAGUUAUAAUUUAUUUAUUAUGUAUGUG
rnacentral:lncRNA from 1 species